CAGAAUAAGCGAAGCAUAUUACAGAUAUAGCGCGGAAAAACAAACAAAAGUGUACAAAGAUGUUGAUGUAUUCGGGCCUUAUGAGAUUAAAUAUCAUUAGCACCCAUCGUAACAACCUUUUGCAGAGGAUGCACAAUUUUUGUAACAAACAUUCUGGUCUGUUCUAUCGUUUAAAUCUCUACACCCGCUCCGACAGUCAGUGGACGUAUCUCACACAUAUACGGUUUGUCAUGGUUCCAGGAACUACAGCAAUGGGAC
rnacentral:lncRNA from 1 species